UGGGGAAUCAUGGUCAAUGGGCGAAAGCCUGAACCUGCGACGCCGCGUGAGUGAUGAAGGUCGUAAGAUCGUAAAACUCUUUUCAGGGAUCUUAAAGCCUGUCUGUCAACAACAGGCAGGUCUGACUCUCCCUGGAAGAAGCCCCAGCCAACUCCGUGCCAGCAGCUGCGGUAAUACGGAGGGGGCGAGCGUUAUUCGGAAGUACUGGGUGUAAAGGGUAUGUAGGCGGCCCUUCAAGUCGCGUGUCAAAGUGCAGGGCUCAACGGUG
rnacentral:rRNA from 1 species